rnacentral:RNase_P_RNA from 1 species
GUGGGUGGAAGCUCAUCAUAGAGGUCACAUGCAGGGUGCUUGUCACUCAACCAAUCACCUUGGGGAAGGUCUGAGACAAGAGCCAAUCACUGCCCUAGCAGGGUAUCACCUGACCUGGGUGAGUGAGUACACAGAGAAUAUGGGCCAUUGUGAGUUGUCUACAGGAGAAACCAGCCAGAGCAGCUCUCCAGCACUACUGGUUGAUGUGACCUCACUGGCUUGGAAACACUCAUGGUUGGCAUAUGAGUGCAAUGUGUGAGUUGGAGUACACCUCCAGAACCCAAUUCAGACUACUCUCUGCCCAC